rnacentral:rRNA from 1 species
AGCGAACGCUGGCGGCAGGCUUAACACAUGCAAGUCGAGCGGGCACUUUCGGGUGUCAGCGGCGGACGGGUGAGUAACGCGUGGGAACGUGCCCUCUGGUUCGGAAUAACUCAGGGAAACUUGAGCUAAUACCGGAUACGCCCUUUUGGGGAAAGGCUUGCUGCCGGAGGAUCGGCCCGCGUCUGAUUAGCUAGUUGGUGAGGUAACGGCUCACCAAUGCGACGAUCAGUAGCUGGUCUGAGAGGAUGAUCAGCCACACUGGGACUGAGACACGGCCCAGACUCCUACGGGAGGCAGCAGUGGGGAAUAUUGGACAAUGGGCGCAAGCCUGAUCCAGCCAUGCCGCGUGAGUGAUGAAGGCCUUAGGGUUGUAAAGCUCUUUUAUCCGGGACGAUAAUGACGGUACCGGAGGAAUAAGCCCCGGCUAACUUCGUG